rnacentral:lncRNA from 1 species
GUUCUACUCCUUUCAAAGUUGUUCGUGUCACCCAUGUAAAAUUUGCAAUUAGACAUUUUUUUUUGUUGGGUACAAUGAAAGGCUACGUAGAAGGAAAAAUAAACCAAAGUGAGUAAUAGUACAGCACAGUCACUUUUAGACGCAUAUUAAUAUUAUACAGCACAAGGAGCUUUAAGAACGCUAACGGACAAAGCCAACACCCAUCCUAUCCGCUGCAAGAAUCUGAGCAAAUGCAGACGGAAGAAGAUCCCCAACAGUAAAAACACGAUCCACCCC